rnacentral:rRNA from 1 species
CGGAGUGAGAGCGUACACAGGUGCUGCAUGGCUGUCGUCAGCUCGUGUCGUGAGAUGUUGGGUUAAGUCCCGCAACGAGCGCAACCCUGCAUUCAGUUGCCAUCGGUAAGGCCGGGGCACUCUGGAUGGACUGCCGGCGACAAGCCGGAGGAAGGUGGGGACGACGUCAAGUCAUCAUGGCCCUUAUGUCCAGGGCGACACACGUGCUACAAUGGCCGGCACAACGGGAAGCGAAGGGGCGACCCUGAGCGGAUCCCACAAAAGCCGGUCUCAGUUCGGAUUGCAGUCUGCAACUCGACUGCAUGAAGUUGGAAUCGCUAGUAAUCGUGGAUCAGCCAAGCCGCGGUGAAUACGUUCCCGGGCCUU